CCCCAGAGACCCUCGAGUUAAUUCCAAGAUUUCCUCUGAAGAGGAGGAAGUCAAAGAAGAGAAGAGGGCACUUCUCAACUUGGGCUGGGAAUAGGUUGUGGGUGAGGGUCUAUGGCAGACAUAAGGAGGAAGGGGCCACCUCCUAGAGAGGGGGACCUCUUUGGUCCACUCUCCACCUGGGCUGAUGGACUUAUAAAUAAAGCUAGAAGGAAGAGUCUUAAGUGUUAUUGAGUCCAAAUACUUUAUUUUAUCUGGAAGGUCCCAGAGAAGUUGUAUGAAUUGCCCCAGUUUUCAUAGUUAUCAAGUGAAAGGUGCUUUGCAGGGCUAGAACCUAUAUCUUCUCAUUGCCUUUCCAUAGCACCUUGCACAACAUAUAACUUGCCCUUUUGGUUUAUGUAGGUGGUAAGGAUUCACCCCAGUAGUUUGGGCAAACCCUUGAGCAGCCCUGGGUUCUGAGCCUCUUGUCCUAUCUAGGCAAAGGGCAGGCAAUUUCCCCUGGGUAUUUUCUUUUCUUUCUUUCAACUUCUUUAUGGGAAAGGAGUCUCAUUCCUUUUAUAGCUGCCCUUGUGGCCCUGCCCAGACAACCCUCAGUAGAGCACAGCAUGGGGGAUGCCUAGAUCACCCCAUUGUAGCUGGUGAAAUGAGCUAGAUUUUCAGAAAGAGACAGGAUACAGACUGUUUUCUGGGAUUUCUUUACAGUGGUUAAUUCGGAGACGACCUGCUGCUAUGAAUUCCAGCUGAGAAAGUGUGCAUACUCACACAUCAAAAGCUAUGAGCUCACUAGCUCCUCCUGCUCCUACAAGGCUGUGAUAUUUACUCUGAAGAAGGGCCAAAAAAUCUGUGUACAUCUUGAAGAAAAAUGGGCUCAGAAUUACUUGAAUAAACUGAAGAAGAGUUCAAUUAAAACACACAUUUGAGGGCUACUUCUAACCAGAAGACUAUCUCGAUUCCACCAGUUGCCAUUAUACUCCCCCUUCAUUUGUAAAUAUUGUGUAUUUAAUUGUCUAUGUCCAUGUUAUGUGUAAGCUCCAUGAGGAGAGGGAAGGCUUCCUCUCCUUUUUUUGUUUUGUAUCCCCAGCACCAGUUUCACUGUCUGGUAUGAGAAAAUUGAGAAAUCUUUGUUGAAUUGAAAGUGGACUUCCAACAAAGAAUGAAGAUAUCUGGGCAUCCUAAAGCCCUGUUUAUUCACCAGCCCCUUACUGAUUGUUUUGCCAGACUCUGAAGUUUAGCCUGGGUCUCAAUAAGCUAUUAUUGUGUCUUAUUUAUUGGGGGGGGGGAACCUCCAGUUUCUGUAACCUGUUUAUUAUGUGGACUCUACUUGCAAAUAGAGAUGAAGCCUCAUUUGGCUUAUGACUGGGUGUCAUAAGGCAUCAUGGACUUGUUUGACUUGGAAUAAAUAUAACUUAUCUAAAUUAAGACA
rnacentral:lncRNA from 1 species